rnacentral:lncRNA from 1 species
GGGUUGCAGGGCAGCCUCUUGCACAGCUGUGGCACCUUUCACUAAGGCUGGGCCUUGGGAGGCAGCCUCCAUACACAGGCAGGGGCUUAGGAAGGUGGAGACACCCUGGGAGGACAAUCUGGGAGCUGUGGAGACAGCAGUGGGCAGUGUGCCUGUGGAGUGCAUUCCCCUAGCAGGGGAAAGAGCUGCAGUGGUGGGAAAUCUUGAAGAGUCUUACACUUUUAAUCCUCCAGUCAUUAACUGUGCUAUGAGGACGUUCUGGUGAGGUGAUAUUGAUAUCACUCCCAAAUAUGCAACAUGGAGCAAAUAGUAGUGCAAGGAAAUAUAUUUUAAAGGUCAGUAUUUCUCAGAAGCUGUGUGCUAACCAUAGUAGGUGA